GCAUAUCAAUAAGCGGAGGAAAAGAAACCAACAGGGAUUGCCCUAGUAACGGCGAGUGAAGCGGCAACAGCUCAAAUUUGAAAUCUGGCUCCUUCGGGGUCCGAGUUGUAAUUUGCAGAGGGUGCUUUGGCGUUGGCGGCGGUCUAAGUUCCUUGGAACAGGACAUCACAGAGGGUGAGAAUCCCGUACGUGGUCGCCUGCCUUCGCCGUGUAAAGCCCCUUCGACGAGUCGAGUUGUUUGGGAAUGCAGCUCUAAAUGGGAGGUAAAUUUCUUCUAAAGCUAAAUACCGGCCAGAGACCGAUAGCGCACAAGUAGAGUGAUCGAAAGAUGAAAAGCACUUUGGAAAGAGAGUCAAACAGCACGUGAAAUUGUUAUAAGGGAAGCGCUUGCAGCCAGACUUGCCUGUAGUUGCUCACCUGGGCUUUUGCCCGGGGCACUCUUCUGCAGGCAGGCCAGCAUCAGUUUGGGCGGUCGGAUAAAGGCCUCUGACACGUACUUCCUUUCGGGGUUGACAUAUAGGGGAGGCGCAAUGCGACCAGCCUGGACUGAGGUCCGCGCAUCUGCUAGGAUGCUGGCGUAAUGGCUGUAAGCGGCCCGUCUUGAAACACGGACCAAGGAGUCUAACAUCUAUGCGAGUGUUUGGGUGUCAAGCCCGAGCGCGUAAUGAAAGUGAACGGAGGUGGGAACCCCUCGGGGCGCACCAUCGACCGAUCCUGAUGUCUUCGGAUGGAUUUGAGUAAGAGCAUAGCUGUUGGGACCCGAAAGAUGGUGAACUAUGCUUGAAUAGGGUGAAGCCAGAGGAAACUCUGGUGGGAGGCUCGCAGCGGUUCUGACGUGCAAAUCGAUCGUCAAAUUUGGCAUAGGGCGAAAGACUAAUCGA
rnacentral:rRNA from 1 species